rnacentral:rRNA from 1 species
GAUGAACGCUGGCGGCGUGCCUAAUACAUGCAAGUCGAGCGAACGGACGAGAAGCUUGCUUCUCUGAUGUUAGCGGCGGACGGGUGAGUAACACGUGGAUAACCUACCUAUAAGACUGGGAUAACUUCGGGAAACCGUAGCUAAUACCGGAUAAUAUUUUGAACCGCAUGGUUCAAAAGUGAAAGACGGUCUUGCUGUCACUUAUAGAUGGAUCCGCGCUGCAUUAUCUAGUUGGUAAGGUAACGGCUUACCAAGGCAACGAUGCAUAGCCGACCUGAGAGGGUGAUCGGCCACACCGGAACUGAGACACGGUCCAGACUCCUACGGGAGGCAGCAGUAGGGAAUCUUCCGCAAUGGGCGAAAGCCUGACGGAGCAACGCCGCGUGAGUGAUGAAGGUCUUCGGAUCGUAAAACUCUGUUAUUAGGGAAGAACAUAUGUGUAAGUAACUGUGCACAUCUUGACGGUACCUAAUCAGAAAGCCACGGCUAACUACGUG